GACGUAGGGGGCCAGCGUUGCUCGGAAUUACUGGGUGUAAAGGGUUCGUAGGCGGUGUGGCAAGUCGGGAGUGAUAUCUCUGGGCUCAACCCAGAGUCUGCUUCCGAAACUGCUGUGCUUGAGUGUGGGAGAGGCGCGUGGAAUUGCAGGUGUAGCGGUGAAAUGCGUAGAUAUCUGCAGGAACACCCGUGGCGAAAGCGGCGCGCUGGACCACUACUGACGCUGAGGAACGAAAGCUAGGGGAGCAAACAGG
rnacentral:rRNA from 1 species